rnacentral:misc_RNA from 1 species
CUCUCUCUAUAUAUAUAUAUAUAAUUCAUUGCCCUUUACUCGAUAUUUUUAGGGAUUCAAUCUAUAAAUAAUUAGAGCUAAUAAAGUGUAAAAUUAACCUACAAGUAUAUAAACACAGAAAUUCAGAAACAUGAAUCGCUAACCUGCAAUGAGAGUGCAGUUUCAGUCUUUCCAGCUUUCCCGUAGCUUGUUGCUACUCUGCUACUUGUGAGAUGGAAGACGGAAAGGAAGAACAACAGAGGCACAAAAACCAAGAGCAAGGAGGGCAGUAAAAGUAACAAAGGAAAAAACCAAAAAGAAGAACAGAAAGGAUUGCUAAUCUCGCCAUCCCAGGUGGCACGAUGGUAAAGGACAAAGUUUCUCACUCUACAUGCCUGCCUGCAGAGAAUCAAAGCCUACAUAUCUAUAGCUUAUGACUGGUGGGUACUGCUUAGCUAGUUCUUUAUUUAUUUUUCACUUAACUGGCCGAUGGGCUUAGUUUCAUUGCUUGGGGACAUGGGUAUUCUAGUUUUGAUGCUGUUUAUGCCUCCUCGCCUCUGUACCCAUCACUUCACUUGCUGCACAACAGGAAUACAGAGAAGAAGAAACAGAGAAAUUGGUUUCCUCACAAGCCAAACAAUGGGGUGAAAGGUUGAUAGAAGUGAAAGGGAGCCCAGAAUCAGUGAUAUGGGUGG